rnacentral:rRNA from 1 species
GACGAACGCUGGCGGCGUGCCUAAUACAUGCCAGUUGAGCGCUGAAGGUUGGUACUUGUACCAACUGGAUGAGCAGCGAACGGGUGAGUAACGCGUGGGGAAUCUGCCUUUGAGCGGGGGACAACAUUUGGAAACGAAUGCUAAUACCGCAUAAAAACUUUAAACACAAGUUUUAAGUUUGAAAGAUGCAAUUGCAUCACUCAAAGAUGAUCCCGCGUUGUAUUAGCUAGUUGGUGAGGUAAAGGCUCACCAAGGCGAUGAUACAUAGCCGACCUGAGAGGGUGGUCGGCCACAUUGGGACGGAGACACGGCCCAAACUCCUACGGGAGGCAGCAGUAGGGAAUCUUCGGCAAUGGACGAAAGUCUGACCGAGCAACGCCGCGUGAGUGAAGAAGGUUUUCGGAUCGUAAAACUCUGUUGGUAGAGAAGAACGUUGGUGAGAGUGGAAAGCUCAUCAAGUGACGGUAACUACCCAGAAAGGGACGGCUAACUACGUG